UUGUUUUUUUUUUCUUAUAAUGAUUUAUAUCUUGUGAAUUUUCUUAGCUCCAAUGGUUUCUUCUUCUUAUUCUUCGGUUUCGGUCUAUCGUUUCUGCACCUUAAGCCUAGCUUCCACGAGCCGCCUCGGCGGUUAUUUCAUCAAUACCCGCAGUGCCGUUAAUUCGUGUCUGAGUUUAGGGUUUUGUUGUGGGAGGGAGGAAGUAAGUGUCAUUGACGAAUUCGUCGCCGCUACGGAGUUUGCAAGUUAGAUUCUGCUCUUUGGUCGCCGCUGUGGAGUUUCGCUUCCGAUAACUGGUUAAAUCUUCUCCUAAAAUUCACGGGGAAUGAUUUUCCCUAUCAAAGCCUCCUCUUUGAAGCCUUUCAUACGCUAAACUGCGCUCAUUAGGUUCGAAUCAGUACAAAGAUUAUAAGCAAUUCCUCUGAUAGAAGCCAGCCACAAUGUCUCUAACAAGAGCUUGCCGAAGAAGCUAACUCUUACUCGAAGUGCGAAGAUUGCUCGAAGCUGGUACCGAUGAUUUCAGUUCAGGGCAGUUCCCUACACUUGUCAUUCACCAGGAAUCUCAUGAGUCAAAGGUUAACGAGACUAAGGUUGUGUGCUUGGGAGUAGCUUUGGGCAAUGUUAGUAUAGAGGAAAAACAAAUCAUCCCAAAUGUACAAUCAAGUGUUAACUUCCUCAUCUCUUUGUUGAAAAGGAACUAGCGAAAUUAUUACUAUGAGCCAGGCACUGGAAGGCAGUUUCGCUCUCUGAUAGCUGUUCAGCGAACUCUUCCACCUACUCCAGCUCCGGCAAACUCUUCCAGCCACUGCAGAACUCUUCCAUCUUGCUGUUCAGCGAACUCUUCCACCUACUCCAGCUGGAAACUAGCCCAUGGGUUUACUGGAAUUUUAUGUCCUAUUACCCUGAAAUGUUUAAUUUUCUCUGUUGAUUGUUUUCAAUUUUUUUGAUAUAGAGCUAUGGAGAUUUAUCAAUUGGCUGAGGGUAGUAAAAAAAGGGCUGAAUUGGUUCGUCCCAAAGUAAGUGUAGGGUAGAUUAUGGUUGCGUCUUGUUGUUGUUGUUUUGAUAUAUAUUAAGUGUAUAAACAUCGAAUUCAUUUGUAGGCAAGGUUGCAGCCUAAUGGGAAUGAUUGUGGAUAUUAUGUGAUGAAGAAUAUGCUUGACAUUGUCUCUGCUAAUAUUACUAAGUCUUGGAAUGAGGUAUUCAAUGAUCCAACGGCAUUAACAGAAGAAGAGUUGUAUGAUUUGCGAAACAGUUGGGCAACUUGUUUUCUAGAGUUGAUUAAACCUUAGAAUUUAUCAGGUUUAUGCCUAAACUGUCUGAAAAACCUUAGCUCUCUUUGUAUUGUGCUUUUUUCUGCACCUGCAUUUGUCUUUGCUGCACUUGAUGCGUGCGUACGUACCUUGUUAUACUCUAGUUUUUUAUUCUCUUUUGUCUUUGUUUUGGCUAUAUGUUGCUUGUUGAGUUUGUUUAGCUGAUAUACUGAUCAUAUCAUUAGUUUGUUUAUGCUAGAUUGAUUGAAUUGCUGGGAAUUUUGCUGAUAUGGACAGUAGAUUGGUGGAGAGAUGAUUGAAUGGAUUCAUAUGAGGCACUUUUUCUGCUGAAUUGCGUGGCUCAGAAUUUCAAGUGGUAGUGAAUCUCUUUUUGUUGUAUUGGUGGUCUUGGAGGCUUGGUAAAAUUUGGGAUAGGCACUAACAUUUGGGCAGUUUGUUGCCUUUGGAUUAGUAGCUUUAGAGUUCUUACUACCUUAGUCUUUUCUUUAGCUUAGCUAGUUUAUCUUUAGCUUAGCUAGUUUUGGUUACUUUGUAUUUUGGCUUUGGACCGUUUCCUUGGUUUUUUCCAAAAAAUAUUUGGCAAUGCAUGAUCAAUUAUUAAUGAUCAAUGAAUAUUCAGCUCAAAUUACUGUAAAAAAACUGAAAAAAAAAGGAAAAAAAAGGACAUUUCACCUCGGUUAGAAAAUCAGCUGAUGUAAAAUAUGUAUAUAAAAAAAAAAAAAAGAGUAUUCACAUCGGUUGCGAAAAUAACCGAUGUAAAAUGUCUAACUUUCCACAUCGGUUAUUUCCUACCAACCGAUGUGAAAUGUAUACUUUUCACAUCGGUUAUUUGAUUCGCCCGAUGUGAAAAAUUACUUUUCACAUCGGUUGUACAACCGAUGUGAAAAGGUGGUGACAUACUACAUCACCCUUACUUACAUCGGUUAUGAACCGAUGUAAAAAGUGAUUUUGGCCCGAUGUUAAAAGUAGUUUUUCUAGUAGUGACAACAGCAAAACAAUUCACCAACAAAUCACCAAACACAUAAAACCACUGAAAACGUGAAACUUAGUGUGUGAGACUCUAAUGUAUGCAUGUGGUACCAAUUGUUAACCUUAGCGGUAUCACCGCGUCCACUCCAGACAGUUAACCACCAAUGAAGUCCACGCCAGACU